rnacentral:rRNA from 1 species
UACGUAGGGGGCAAGCGUUGUCCGGAAUCAUUGGGCGUAAAGCGCGUGUAGGCGGCCCGGUAAGUCCGCUGUGAAAGUCCAGGGCUCAACCCUGGGAUGCCGGUGGAUACUGUCGGGCUCGAGUCCGGAAGAGGAGUGUGGAAUUCCUGGUGUAGCGGUGAAAUGCGCAGAUAUCAGGAGGAACACCAAUGGCGAAGGCAGCACUCUGGGACGUGACUGACGCUGAGACGCGAAAGCGUGGGAGCAAACAGG